UGUUCAACAUGUAAAUGCGAUACUAACCGACAGCUGAGUUGUACUCCUCUUCAGAAUCCUCCAGCAAAAUGUACCACCACCUGCUCCAUCAAUGGCCAAACCUACAACAUUAAUGAUAUGGUACCUACUACAGAUGACUGUUACACAUGUAAGUGUGAUACUAACCAACAAGUGAGCUGUACUCUAAUUCAGAAUCCUCCAGCAAAAUGUACCUCCAAAUGCUAUAUCAAUGGCCAAACCUACAACAUUAAUGAUGUGGUACCUAC